rnacentral:rRNA from 1 species
CGAGUUUGAUCCUAGCUCAGAAUGAACGCUAGAAAUAUACAUUACACAUGCAAAUUUAUGAUAAUAUCAUAGUGAAUAGGUGAGGAUAUAUAAAUUUUUAAUUUUAAAUAGAUUAUAAUAUAUAAUAAUCUAUAAGCGCAUUUAUUUAUAUAAUUGUACUAUAUUAAAAAUUAUUAUUGUUUAAAAUAAAAUUUAUAUUUGAUUAACUAGUUGGUAAAAUAAAAGCUUACCAAGGUUAUGAUCAAAAAUUGGUUUUAAAGAAUGUACAAUCACAUUAGGAUUGAAAUAAAGCCUAAAUUUUUUUUUAAAUCAGCAGUGAGGAAUAUUUUACAAUGAGCGUAAGCUUGAUAAAGUAAUAUUUCUUAAAGGAUGACAGUAUAUUUUUAUAUUGUAAACUUUAUGUUUUAUUUUUAAAUAUUGAUAAAAAUAAAAUAUUAGUAUUUGCUAAUUUCUGUGCCAGCAGCAGCGGUAAUACAGAAAAUACAAGCGUUAUUCACUUUAUUUGGCGUAAAGCGUUUUAAGGUUUUAUAUUAAUUUUAUUUUAAAAUAUUUAAUUUAAAUUUAAAUAAAAAAUAAAUAAUAAUAUAAUAAGAGUAUUAUAAAAGUAUUAAGAAUUUUUUGAGAAGUAGUGAAAUGCAAUGAUACAAAAAAGAAUACCAAAGGCGAAGGCAUAAUACUAUAUAAUAACUGACACUUAUAAACGAAAGCUAAGGUAGCAAAUAGGAUUAGAUACCCUAGUAGUCUUAGCUGUAAACUAUGAAUAUUUUAUAUUUAUAUAUUAAUAUAAAUAUAAUAACUAACGUAAUAAAUAUUCCGCCUGAGUAGUAUAUUCGCAAGAACGAAAUUCAAAGGAAUUGACGGGAGCUUAUACAAGUGGUGGAACAUGUGGCUUAAUUCGAUGCAACACGAUAAACCUUACCAAAAUUUAACAAUAUUUAUAUUAUUAAGGAAUUAAUAAUUUAAUAAAAUAUAUAGGUAGUGCAUGGCUGUCGUCAGUUCGUGCUGUGAAGUAUUAAUUUAAGUAUUAUAACGAACGUAACCUUUUAUAAAAAAAUUUUUUAUAAUAUAUUUAUCAAAUAUAUAAAAAAGACUACGUCAAGUCAUUAUGCUCCUUAUAUUUUGGGCUGCUCACGUGUUACAUAAAAUAUAACAAUAUUUUAUUAUAUGAAAAUAUAAUAUAUUUAAAUAUAUUUAUAGUUCUAAUUAUAAAUUGAAACUCAUUUAUAUGAGGAUGGAAUCACUAGUAAUCGCUAAUAAGAAAUAUAGCGGUGAAUAAGUUCUUAAGCUUUGUACACACCGCCCGUCACAUCUGGAAAAUAUUAUAUUAUAUAAAAAUUAUUGUAAAAUAAUAAUAUAUAAUUAUAUAAUUUAGAUGAAGUCGUAACAAGGUAGCCGUACUGGAAGGUGCGGCUG